rnacentral:rRNA from 1 species
GACGAACGCUGGCGGCGUGCUUAACACAUGCAAGUCGUACGGUAAGGCCCUUUCGGGGGUCCACGAGUGGCGAACGGGUGAGUAACACGUGAGUAACCUGCCCACAACUUUGGGAUAACGCUAGGAAACUGGUGCUAAUACUGGAUAUGUGCUCCUGCUGCAUGGUGGGGGUUGGAAAGCUCCGGCGGUUGUGGAUGGACUCGCGGCCUAUCAGCUUGUUGGUGGGGUAGUGGCCUACCAAGGCGGCGACGGGUAGCCGGCCUGAGAGGGUGACCGGCCACAUUGGGACUGAGAUACGGCCCAGACUCCUACGGGAGGCAGCAGUGGGGAAUAUUGCACAAUGGGCGCAAGCCUGAUGCAGCAACGCCGCGUGCGGGAUGACGGCCUUCGGGUUGUAAACCGCUUUCAGCAGGGGCGAAGCUUUUUGUGACGGUACCUGCAGAAGAAGCACCGGCUAACUACGUG